GUAUUUUAAUGAAACAUAAUAGUAUUAAAACGGUUUUCUUCUUUUGAAAAAAUUUAUUGCUAGUCCUGUUUCUAAUCGACUUUACUUGUGUAUUUUAAGCUUUUUUGUUGCUGUGCUUUUUCUGGAGAUUUUAGUUGGAUUGGAAGGUCCUGUGUAAGGUACCCAUUCCUAAAGAAAAAUUGAAGUAAUUUGUACAAUUAAAACGCGCCGAGCUGUGUUUUAUUUUAUUGUUUCUAAGAGGAUGUAAGAAUACAAUAUUAUCAAUUUUAAUUGGUUUUAUCCAAAUCAAGAUUGUGUACAAUGGGAGUGAGUGAUGUAAUCUUCUAAUGCGUGUGGUGAAAAGAAGGCGAAUCCGUUAUUGUUUUUCUGCCCAAAUUUGAAGCUAUUUAAUAAAUCUUGAUAAAGUUAAAAAACUGUUUUGAUUUGUUUGUUUUUGUUUUAAUUGUUUCCCGUGAGUUUUCGAAAUUCGUUCCAGCAGAUUCUGUGGCUUCUACUGCCGGUAUUUUUACGUGAAAAAAAUA